GCCCCGCGCGUCUGAUUCCAGUCGUCACGGCAUUGGAAUCGGAGAAGCCAGUAGUUAUUGAAGUGUUGAAGAAAACCGAUCAAUUGGAUUUCUUCGGUGUGGAAGAUUUCCCAGUUGAUUUGCAAGAAACCUGGGGAUUUAGUUGACUCUCAUUUUGGCCACUCAGAUGUUUGUGCGUCAAGAGAAUCUAUGAGCCAAAAGCAACUCCUCCAUCUUCCACUGGAGACUGCUUUUCUCUGCAAGGAAUGAAGUUAAAAUAAAUGAAUUCACUGCUUGAAAGUGAUGGUGUUACCCUGCAGGACAAUCAGUCUAGAGCCUGAUCUGACAAGAAGGCAGAAGAUUGGUGCUGAUGCUGAGCCGCCUGAGGAUGCUGCAAUUCUAUAGGACAGUCCUUCCUGGAGGCUUGGCUAUGGAACAAAUCAGACGCGCACAUCCCCUCUGAACUCUGAGUGGGGUCCGGGACAGUGAGCGGCCAUCUUGAGUGUCUGCUGUAUCCAGAAACUAUGGAAGUGGAAAAUACCUGACCGUCUUGACAGUUCUACAAGUGCAAUCCCUAACAUUGUCUAUCACGCCUGCACAGACACGUGUCUAUUGUAGAAUCACAAAGGAGCCAGCCACAGCCCUUUCAGUUCCAAAAGGCUGACCACCCGGAGCUUUCUUCUUAUAGCUGGUCGAGCUAGCAGCCCUUUGGCUCACACCUUCUCACUUAUGAGUGGUGAGCUAAGAUGUGUUUAAACUGCAGUAACAUUUACUCCCACCGGAACAGCAGAGAAGGAAGUCGCACGCAGCUGUUGGGGAGGAGGGUCGAAAACAGGAAGAUGGCGUUUUCUCCCAGUACUUUCAUGGUUGAUGAAUGAGAUCUGGGUUUCAGAGGAUAAAAAUCUCAAUUCUGAGGAAUUGGUAUUGCAUGGAUAUUUCUCAUGAAUAAUUCAAAUACUGACCUCAGACCUGUGUAUAUGGACGUACAAACACUAAGGGAGCUAAAAAUAAAACAAAGAAGCAGAGAAAGAAAAGGCGUGUUAACCGCGGCGAUCCAGCAUCAGUGUUCGUGAUGGUUAACUGAAGGGCCCGGAUAGCUGAUAAACAUGGUCUCUGGGUCCAUCUGGAGAUGAGCAGUGACCAAAUCACAGCACAGAGAAGAUCUGCCUUCCGGAGGGCACCGCCCAAUCUGUUGAACGGGGCUGUGAGGAUUCAUCUGUAUAUUCAACCGUCUGAGAUGGGUAUCAAAAUUCACACUGUACACAGAAGCAGCUCAGCUGUAGAACAUGAGUGACUUGCCU
rnacentral:lncRNA from 1 species